rnacentral:misc_RNA from 1 species
GGACAUUACUCGCGCUCAUAAACAUGAAAGUGAAAGGAACGAGGCCUUAUCCAUGUUCAUCUCCACAGGUGUUCAUCCUCGAAUUCCACCUGCUCACAACUGUCUGACUUAGAAAAGACUAAGAUAAAUGUCAAUGAUGGAAGAAUUUUGCAAGAUGUUACCAAAAGUGGAGCUACAUGCACACAUUAAUGGGUCAGUGAGUGAGAGUACAAUAGAAAAACUAGUGGCCACGAAACAGAAACUAGACCACCAGUUUAGUUUUAAGAAGGGAAGCACAGCUACACUGAAGGAGUGCUUUGAGAAGUUCCGCCUCAUUCAUCAGCUGACAGACAAUGUGGAUGCUGUUUACCAGGUAACAUAUGAUGUGAUCCAAGAGUUCUGUGAUGACAAUGUUCGAUACCUGGAACUUCGGAGCACACCAAGGGAGGUCACUGAGACCGGUAUGACCAAAGAACUCUACGUUGAUGCAGUGUUACGAGCGAUUCGUGACUGUGAGGCAGAAAACUUGGACAUUGAAGUGAAACUGCUGCUAGCAAUAGACAGAAGAAAUGGGGUACAAGUGGGUCAGGACACGGUUAAGCUGGCACAGAAGUUCAGGGAAUCCCACCCAGACCUGGUGGUUGGCAUUGACCUCAGUGGGGAUCCCAGUGUAGGAGAUGGUAGGGAUUUUAUUCCUGUCUUUAAGGAAGCCAAGGACUUUGGUCUCAAGUUAGCUCUCCAUCUUUGUGAGGUCCCUGCACUACAGGAGACAAUGGACCUGUUGUGUCUACCCCCAGACAGGAUCGGACAUGGGACCUGUCUCCACCCGGAGGCUGGGGGGACCCAGGAGUUCGUGGACACCGUCCUGACCCACAAAACGCCACUUGAGCUGUGUCUGACCUCGAACCUGAUUGGUCAGACAGUGCCUGACCUGGACAACCACCAGUUUAAGUUCUGGUAUGAGAAGCAGCACCCCUGUAUUAUAUGUACAGAUGAUAAGGGUGUUUUUAGUACCUCCUUGACAGAAGAGUAUCAACUAGCAGCCGUGACCUUUGACCUUUCACCCAAUGAUCUAUGGCGGCUCUCCCUGGACAGUAUGAAUUAUGCUUUUUGUGAGGAACAUUUAAAAGAAAAGCUGAGAGAGAAGUGGAAAGCUGCCAAACCUGGAAUGGAAAAGCAAUUCAACCUAAAGCUCUAAACAUUGUUUUGUUCUUGAACUUUCUGCAAUAAUAGAUGAGAAACUAUUAACAAAUCAAUAAAGUGGGAAAAAAACCCUGAUACCCAGCAAUGAUUUUGAUCAGAAUCUUGAGAAGGCAAAAAAGAAGCAUAUUUGGUGAUAUUCGAGUUUUAUUCUUGAGUCUAAAGCAUCUUUACUGCUUGUAUUAUACAUGUAUAUGGACAUAUUCUUAAUCAGUUUAAAUUCUUACUUGUAAUAUUCUGAAUUCAAUGAUUAACACAACUGAUAGUUUUGAU